GACGAACGCUGGCGGCGUGCUUAACACAUGCAAGUCGAGCGAUGAAGCACCUUCGGGUGUGAAUUAGCGGCGAACGGGUGAGGAACACGUGAGAAAUCUGCCUUCAACUCUGGGAUAACUCCGUGAAAACGGGGCUAAUACCGGAUAUGAAACCUGCGGGCAUCCGCGGGUUUGGAAAGUUUUUCGGUUGAAGAUGAUCUCGCGGCCUAUCAGCUUGUUGGUGAGGUAAUGGCUCACCAAGGCGACGACGGGUAGCCGGCCUGAGAGGGCGACCGGCCACACUGGGACUGAGACACGGCCCAGACUCCUACGGGAGGCAGCAGUGGGGAAUAUUGGGCAAUGGAGGAAACUCUGACCCAGCGACGCCGCGUGCGGGAUGAAGGCCUUCGGGUUGUAAACCGCUUUCAGCAGGGAAGAAGCGAAAGUGACGGUACCUGCAGAAGAAGCACCGGCUAACUAUGUGCCAGCAGCCGCAGUAA
rnacentral:rRNA from 1 species